UACAGAGGGGGCAAGCGUUAUUCGGAAUUAUUGGGCGUAAAGGGCGCGUAGGCGGCCUGGCAAGUGGAAGGUGAAAUCCCUCGGCUUAACCGAGGAACUGCCCUCCAAACUGCUUGGCUUGAGUCCGGGGAGGAGGUGAGUGGAAUUCCCAGUGUAGCGGUGAAAUGCGUAGAUAUCAGGAAGAACACCCGUGGCGAAGGCGGCUCUCUGGGACGGUACUGACGCUGAGACGCGAAACGUGGGGAGCGAACAGG
rnacentral:rRNA from 1 species